rnacentral:rRNA from 1 species
UUUUGGAGUGAUUUGUCUGGUUAAUUCCGAUAACGAACGAGACUCUCGCCUGCUAAAUAGUUCGGGGACGCCUAAUGCGCGUCCCCGCUAGAACUUCUUAGAGGUACAAGUGGCGUUUAGCCACACGAAACGGAGCAAUAACAGGUCUGUGAUGCCCUUAGAUGUCCGGGGCCGCACAUGUGCUACAAUGGAUGCACCAGCGUGUAUCAUACUCGCCCGAAAGGGUAGGGGAAUCCGCUGAACCGCAUUCUCGGUUGGGAUUGGGGAUUGCAAUUAUUUCCCAUGAACGCGGAAUCCCUCGUAGGCGCCAGUCAUCAGCUGGCGUCGAUUCAGUCCCUGCCCUUUGUACACACCGCCCGUCGCUACUACCGAUCGCUCUUGUUAAUGAGCCUGACGGAUGGGACCCGGUGAGCGGGCUUAACCGCCUGCGAGCUCUGGUGUUUGCCCAGAAGUCCGGCGAAUUAUCCGGGGUAGAGGAAGUAAAAGUCGUAACAAGGUUUCCGUAGGU